UUCUUCUUCCCUUAUCUGGUUUUUAUCAUUCGUUCUCCUGUUUUUUCUACCCCUUCAUUUCUUUCUUCAUCAAUUCGCAAUGAUGCGAGGAGAAUUGAGGUCCUCUGCACCAAGCCCCCUUGUCUGUCUCAGUUAGCCUUCAUUUCAUCCUUUCUUUCUUUCAUUGCUUCUUUUGCUUCCUUCCACGGGCCAGCCAGUGAGAGAGGGAUUCAGAAGAGGUGCUCCUAGAGGGCCUACUCCUCUGCAAGAAACCAUAGGUUACAUCCCAUUAGCCCUUCCCACAUGGAUUUGAAGACACACCUGUCAGAGAGGACUAACCGGAUAUGAAUGCAGGAUCCUGACUUGACUUUUCUGAAAGCCAGUCAGUUCUGUGUGGAAUUGGGCCGACUUCACUAUUCUGACUUCUCUAGAUGUACCAGAGGCUCUCCAGUUGUCUGCGGAAAAGCUUUUGAUAGAUUUAGAUGAAAUUGCUACAUUCCUGUGAAGCAUUUCCAUCUCCAUUUCAUUGGAUCAGUAUUUUGCUACAGAAAACUGUUCCAUCAGAAAAAAAAUGACUAGCCCUGCUUGGGGCUUUGCAGAGGCUUUUGAAAAGAUCAGCCAGAGCAUUGGGAAAGCAUGAACUUCAAUCUUCAGAGCAUGCAAGCAACAAGGCAUCAGCCGUCAGAGUGACACAAGCAGCAAUUUCCUUCGCAACAUUGAAGAUGCCGGGUGAGGGUUUACAACAGCAGUGCACUGUGUUAAGCAAAGCAGCAGAAGACAGACAGCCUGGAGAGAGACAUCCCGUGACGUAAGUGCCCUGGACCUUUCCAUUGAACUUCAAGUUCUUGGCAGGCAGCUGAAACUUGGAAUGUACCCAAAAGCUGCUUUGGAGUUUCUAUGCAAGAAUACGGUUUUUGUCCCUGUUUCCAAAUCUCCCAUUGCAGUUGGGGGUCCAUUAACACUGUCUGGGUCUGCUGCAAGCAGAAAAAUGCAGUUUUUCAAAGUUCAUACUUAAAGACAUGUUUACUUUCUACUAUGGCUCUUUUUUUGGCUGGUACACCUUGAUUUAAUUUCAGCUGAAUGCUAAAUUACAGAGAGUAUUGAUCUGAAACAUGCCCUCUGCUAGCACACAUGUAGCAGAAAAAAGUAAAGCUCACUAAGAUGCUAACUGCCACUCCCAAAUUAUGGGGACCAGAGACUUUAAAGGAAUGGCUCUGUGUUUGAUUUUCAAGUUCUUCACUUUCUUUGUACUAAUAAAAGUAUGAAACAAAAAUAAUGAAUCCAAGUCUUUCAGUAUUGUAUUGGGCAAUUAGGAAAUUAACUGGGGAGUGUGGCAAAAAAAAUAUUACCCCCAAAUUAGGCUACAGCUGGUACAGAACAUCUAUUCACAAAAAAUAUAGAGGUUUCUUAUCUGACUAGUGAACUGCACCAGCAAAAGCAGAAUGAUUCACCUCUACCAUCACAGCUGAUAGAAAGCUUAGAUAGCUAGACAGAGCGAGACAGAAACCAGGAGUGGGAUGCAGAAGUUGUGACUCCCAGACUCCUGGUUCAAGCACAAGGCAAUGCACUUCCUUUGGGACGAUAUCACUGCUGGCAUCAUCUGUUAAUUCUUUGCUAUAAGAAUAAUACUGUGGUGGAGACUUUGGCUUCCUGUAUGCUUUACGGCCCCAACUGAACUUUGGGUGCUUCCGGAGAUAAUUAUUAACAAA